rnacentral:rRNA from 1 species
ACAGUGGACGCGAGCAUCUGUGGCCAAGUUUUUAAGGGCGCACGGUGGAUGCCUUGGCACCAGGAACCGAUGAAGGACGUGGGAGGCCGCGAUAGUCCCCGGGGAGUCGUCAACCAGGCUUUGAUCCGGGGGUUUCCGAAUGGGGAAACCCGGCAGUCGUCAUGGGCUGUCACCCGCUGCUGAACACAUAGGCAGUGUGGAGGGAACGAGGGGAAGUGAAACAUCUCAGUACCCUCAGGAAGAGAAAACAACCGUGAUUCCGGGAGUAGUGGCGAGCGAAACCGGAUGAGGCCAAACCUACGACGUGUGAGACCCGGCAGGGGUUGCGUCGUGGGGGUUGUGGGAUCUCUCUUUCACAGUCUGCCGGCUGUGAGACGAGUCAGAAACCGUUGAUGUAGGCGAAGGACAUGCGAAAGGUCCGGCGUAGAGGGUAAGACCCCCGUAGUCGAAACGUCAGCGGCUCGUUUGAGAGACACCCAAGUAGCACGGGGCCCGAGAAAUCCCGUGUGAAUCUGGCGGGACCACCCGCUAAGCCUAAAUAUUCCCUGGUGACCGAUAGCGGAUAGUACCGUGAGGGAAUGGUGAAAAGUACCCCGGGAGGGGAGUGAAAUAGUACCUGAAACCGUGUGCCUACAAGCCGUGGGAGCGUCGGACGAGGACUUGUCUUCGUCUCGUGACUGCGUGCCUUUUGAAGAAUGAGCCUGCGAGUUUGCGGUGUGUUGCGAGGUUAACCCGUUGUGGGGUAGCCGUAGCGAAAGCGAGUCCGAAUAGGGCGGUUGAGUAGCACGCUCAAGACCCGAAGCGGAGUGAUCUAGCCAUGGGCAGGUUGAAGCGGAGGUAAGACUUCGUGGAGGACCGAACCCACCAGGGUUGAAAACCUGGGGGAUGACCUGUGGUUAGGGGUGAAAGGCCAAUCAAACUCCGUGAUAGCUGGUUCUCCCCGAAAUGCAUUUAGGUGCAGCGUCGUGUGUUUCUUGCCGGAGGUAGAGCACUGGAUAGGCGAUGGGCCCUACCGGGUUACUGACCUUAGCCAAACUCCGAAUGCCGGUAAGUGAGAGCGCGGCAGUGAGACUGUGGGGGAUAAGCUCCAUGGUCGAGAGGGAAACAGCCCAGAGCAUCGACUAAGGCCCCUAAGCGUACGCUAAGUGGGAAAGGAUGUGGAGUCGCAGAGACAACCAGGAGGUUGGCUUAGAAGCAGCCACCCUUGAAAGAGUGCGUAAUAGCUCACUGGUCUAGUGAUUCCGCGCCGACAAUGUAGCGGGGCUCAAGCGUACCGCCGAAGUCGUGUCAUUGCAGCAUAUACGCCCAACGGCGGCUGUGAUGGGUAGGGGAGCGUCGUCUGCCGGGUGAAGCAGCACCGGAAGGUAGUUGUGGACGGUUGACGAGUGAGAAUGCAGGCAUGAGUAGCGAUUCACACGUGAGAAACGUGUGCGCCGAUUGACUAAGGGUUCCUGGGUCAAGCUGAUCUGCCCAGGGUAAGUCGGGACCUAAGGCGAGGCCGACAGGCGUAGUCGAUGGAUAACCGGUUGAUAUUCCGGUACCCGCUGUGAAGCGUCAAACAUCGAGCAUCGUGAUGCUAAGGCCGUGAAGCCGCCCUUGAUCUCUUCGGAGUGAUGGGGAGUGGUGGAGCCGCUGAACCAAGCGGUUAGUAGGUGAGUGAUGGGGUGACGCAGGAAGGUAGUCCAUCCCGGGCGGUGGUUGUCCCGGGGUAAGGGUGUAGCCCGAGUGGUAGGCAAAUCCGCCACUCAUACAAGGGUGAGACCUGAUGCCGAGCCGAUUGUGGUGAAGUGGAUGAUCCUAUGCUGUCGAGAAAAGCCUCUAGCGAGUUUCAUGGCGGCCCGUACCCUAAACCGACUCAGGUGGUCAGGUAGAGAAUACCGAGGCGUUCGGGUGAACUAUGGUUAAGGAACUCGGCAAAAUGCCCCCGUAACUUCGGGAGAAGGGGGGCCACACCUGGUGAGGAUCUUUACGGUCUGAGCUGGGGGUGGCCGCAGAGACCAGCGAGAAGCGACUGUUUACUAAAAACACAGGUCCGUGCGAAGCCGUAAGGCGAUGUAUACGGACUGACGCCUGCCCGGUGCUGGAACGUUAAGGGGACCGGUUAGCUUGGAUUCGUCCAGGCGAAGCUGAGAACUUAAGCGCCAGUAAACGGCGGUGGUAACUAUAACCAUCCUAAGGUAGCGAAAUUCCUUGUCGGGUAAGUUCCGACCUGCACGAAUGGCGUAACGACUUCUCGACUGUCUCAACCAUAGGCCCGGUGAAAUUGCACUACGAGUAAAGAUGCUCGUUUCGCGCAGCAGGACGGAAAGACCCCGGGACCUUUACUACAGUUUGAUAUUGGUGUUCGGUUCGGCUUGUGUAGGAUAGCUGGGAGACUGUGAAGCAUGCACGCCAGUGUGUGUGGAGUCGUCGUUGAAAUACCAGUCUGGUCGUGCUGGAUGUCUAACCUGGGUCCGUGAUCCGGAUCAGGGACAGUGUCUGAUGGGUAGUUUAACUGGGGCGGUUGCCUCCUAAAGAGUAACGGAGGCGCCCAAAGGUUCCCUCAGCCUGGUUGGCAAUCAGGUGUUGAGUGUAAGUGCACAAGGGAGCUUGACUGUGAGACCGACGGGUCGAGCAGGGACGAAAGUCGGGACUAGUGAUCCGGCGGUGGCUUGUGGAAGCGCCGUCGCUCAACGGAUAAAAGGUACCCCGGGGAUAACAGGCUGAUCUUCCCCAAGAGUCCAUAUCGACGGGAUGGUUUGGCACCUCGAUGUCGGCUCGUCGCAUCCUGGGGCUGGAGUCGGUCCCAAGGGUUGGGCUGUUCGCCCAUUAAAGCGGUACGCGAGCUGGGUUUAGAACGUCGUGAGACAGUUCGGUCCCUAUCCGCUGUGCGCGUAGGAGUCUUGAGAAGGGCUGUCCCUAGUACGAGAGGACCGGGACGGACGAACCUCUGGUGUGCCAGUUGUUCUGCCAAGGGCAUGGCUGGUUGGCUACGUUCGGGAGGGAUAACCGCUGAAAGCAUCUAAGCGGGAAGCCUGCUUCGAGAUGAGGACUCCCACCCACUUGAUGGGGUAAGGCUCCCAGUAGACGACUGGGUUGAUAGGCCGGAUCUGGAAGCACGGUAACGUGUGGAGGUGACCGGUACUAAUAGGCCGAGGGCUUGUCCUCAGUUG